rnacentral:rRNA from 1 species
UAAGCGUGCUUGGGCGAGAGUAGUACUAGGAUGGGUGACCUCUGAAGUUAAGCGUGCUUGGGCGAGAGUAGUACUAGGAUGGGUGACCUCCUGGGAAGUCCUUGUGUUACAUUCC